rnacentral:rRNA from 1 species
ACAGGGAUUACCUCAGUAACGGCGAGUGAAGCGGUAAUAGCUCAAAUUUGAAAUCUGGCUUCGGUCCGAGUUGUAAUUUGUAGAAGAUGCUUCGGGUGUGGCUCCGGUCUAAGUUCCUUGGAACAGGACGUCAUAGAGGGUGAGAAUCCCGUAUGUGACUGGGUGCCUCCGCCUAUGUGAAGCUCUUUCGACGAGUCGAGUUGUUUGGGAAUGCAGCUCAAAAUGGGUGGUAUAUUUCAUCUAAAGCUAAAUAUUGGCCAGAGACCGAUAGCGCACAAGUAGAGUGAUCGAAAGAUGAAAAGCACUUUGGAAAGAGAGUUAAACAGUACGUGAAAUUGUUGAAAGGGAAGCGUUUGCAAUCAGACUUGCACGUUGCCGAUCAUCUGGUGUUCUCACCAGUGCACUCGGUUUCGUUCAGGCCAGCAUCGGUUUGGGUGGUUGGAUAAAGGCCUUGGGAAUGUAGCUUCUUUCGGGGAGUGUUAUAGCCCUCGGUGCAAUGCAGCCUACCUGGACCGAGGACCGCGCUUCGGCUAGGAUGCUGGCGUAAUGAUUGUAAACGACCCGUCUUGAAACACGGACCAAGGAGUCUAACAUCUAUGCGAGUAUUUGGGUGUUAAACCCAUAUGCGUAAUUAACGUGAACGGAGGUAAGAGCCCUUAAGGGUGCAUUAUCGACCGGUCCUGAUGUCUUCGGAAGGAUCUGAGUAAGAGCAUAGCUGUUGGGACCCGAAAGAUGGUGAACUAUGCCUGAAUAGGGUGAAGCCAGAGGAAACUCUGGUGGAGGCUCGCAGCGGUUCUGACGUGCAAAUCGAUCGUCAAAUUUGGGUAUAGGGGCGAAAGACUAAUCGA